CACGUAGGGUGCGAGCGUUUGUCCGGAAUUAUUGGGCGUAAAGAGCUCGUAGGCGGUGUGUCGCGUCGGCCGUGAAAACCUGCAGCUUAACUGUGGGCUUGCGGUCGAUACGGGCAUCACUGGAGUUCGGCAGGGGAGACUGGAAUUCCUGGUGUAGCGGUGAAAUGCGCAGAUAUCGGGAAGAACACCCGUGGCGAAGGCGGCACUCUGGGACGGUACUGACGCUGAGACGCGAAAGCGUGGGGAGCCGAACAGG
rnacentral:rRNA from 1 species